GAAAGUAAUAUCACAAUGCAAUAUAUAUAUAUCUAAAAGGCUUUUUAUGCAAAAUUAAUUUUCUUUUAAUUUGUGAAAUGUGACCUACACAUGUUUUUGCGAGACUAAUCAAUUACUCCUGCACUUAGCCAAUUAACAAAGCAGAUGUAACUUUGCAUUUCAUGAAAACCUUUGAAAACUGUUAAAAACGGCAAUUGUCACCUUCUUUACAGUAAAUGAAGCAUGCACGCACACACUCACAGAUGUGUGUGAAAAGAGUCGGCGAGUACGUUCUGCCAUAAUAAGCGAGGGCCAAUAAAUAAGGGAGGUUACACAAGUGUUAUUAAAUGUCAAAAUGAUUACUGUGUCAGUGAACGGCUGGCUUAUUCGAGCUGAACACGUCGCGUUGAGCUCUCGUCAGAAACCACCUCAGUGAACAAAAGAAUACACUCUUAUUAUAAACUUACGUCCCAACACGUUAAACCUUUUGCUCACAUUCAGUGUUUCUGAGCGUUUGCACACAGAAUUCACUCUCCUGACUGCAACUUUACAUGCAUGUCUAUGAGUGUCUACUGAUUGUGUUUUUCUUUAGAAAUACAGCUGGUGUUUUCACAUUUAAGAAGAUAAUGUCGGAAAAUUCUGUUAUUACUCACCCACAUUGUUCCAUACCUGUAUGGCUUUCUUUCUGUAUUUCUUUCUUUCUUCUGUGAAACACAAAAGAAGAUAUUUAGUAGAAUGUUCAUGCUGCUCUUUUGCAGUCAACGCAAACAGAAAUUGUAAAUAAAAUGAAUAAAAAGCGUUAUGAAAGAAGUUUCCACCACUCAAUUGCUCAUAAUUGAUUGUUUGCUGAAAGCUCAUUUGCAUAUGUACAUGCAUUCUCUUAAACUGAAUGGUUUAUAUGUAGGCGUGGGCAUGAGAUUUCACAGCAGCGGUGGAGGAAAGAAAGCCAUAAUGUUUUGGAAACACGUGAGGACGCCGUCCGCAGGUCCCUCAUCUGUCCUUGCCUCUUCUGACCGGCGCUAAAGCGUUCAGAUGAUCGUAGCCUCAACCAGACACCUCACCAAAACCAAUAAGCUAAGUGUGCAGUGGAGACACUCAGAAUAACUGAGCUGAUCAUUACACACAAAUACACUCCCGAACAUAAGCAGCGACAUUAUAGACCCCCCAUUCUGACCAAAUUCACAAACUUGUCCGAUAACAAACUACGACAAGCUAGAAAAUCAAGAGUUACUGAGAGAAAUGAACUCAAAAUGAACAUGGAUCUUAUUAAAAUGAGCAAAUAUUAGCAUGUGUUGCAUAGUUUUGGUUAAUAGUGCAUACUGUGCUGUGUUUACUACACUACUGUUCAUAAGUCUGGGGUCUGUGAGAUUUGUUAUGUUUUUGAAAGAAGUCUCUUCUGCUCACAAAGGCUGCAUUAGAUCAAAAAUACAGUAAAAUUGUGAAAUAUUUUUGCAAUUUAAAAUAGCUGUUUUCUAUGUGAAUAUCUGUCAAAAUUAAAUUUAUUUCUGUGAUGCGCAGCUGAAUUUUCAGCAUUAUUACUCCAGUAUUCAGUGUCACAUGAUCUUCAGAAAUCAUUCUAAUGUACUGAUUUCUGAUUAUUAUCAAUGUUGAAAAUGGUUGUGCUGCACAAUAUUUUUGUGGAAACCGUGCUACUUUAUUUUUCAGGAAUCACAGAUGAAUAGAAAGUCCAAAAGAACAUGUCUUUGAUGUCACUUUUAAUCAAUUGAAUGGUUCCUUGAUGAAUAAAAGUAUAAAUUUCUUUAGAAAAUAUCA
ensembl:lncRNA